rnacentral:tRNA from 1 species
GGCCUGCUGGCUCAAUGGCAGAGCGCCUGACUACGAUCACGGUUCCAAUGGUUCCAGAGUCCAUCAGGAGGUUCCAGGUUCGAGCCCUGGGUAGGUCA